AUAUGAAGUGCACACCCCAAAUGUACUAUUUAGCACCAAAAAAAUUUGACGUUUUAAAUCUCUGAUGUAACCACAGUAUUUGAUGCUUCUAUUUGACUCUCAGAUAUGAAGUGCACCCCACUAAUAUACUAUUUUGCAGAAUUCUUUCCUAAUCUGUCCCUAAAGCGGCAGCAUCCUCUCCCUACACUAAUAAGAGCUCAUGUGACGGGUG